rnacentral:rRNA from 1 species
UACGUAGGGGGCAAGCGUUAUCCGGAUUUACUGGGUGUAAAGGGAGCGUAGACGGUUAUGCAAGUCAGAAGUGAAAGCCCAAAGCUCAACUUCGGGACUGCUUUUGAAACUGUGUAACUAGAGUGCAGGAGGGGUAAGCGGAAUUCCUAGUGUAGCGGUGAAAUGCGUAGAUAUUAGGAGGAACACCGGCGGCGAAGGCGGCUUACUGGACUGUAACUGACGUUGAGGCUCGAAAGCGUGGGGAGCAAACAGG